CAUUUUGAAUUAAAAAUGCUGAACUGUUAUCUUGAAAUGUCAGAGAGUUCCUAAAACUUUUAAAAAGUUCAUAUCUAAACAUUUCAAAAUAGAAUGAUACAAGAACUUUUGUUCAUGUGAGCGAUGUGGCCCAUCGUCUUUUUUUUUCAACUUAUGCCAGGCGGAAUUGAUAACUACUGAUAAAAUGAUGGUAGUGAUGAAUAAUUGAAUGUUAGAAAGUUGUCCACAAUAAAAUAAAUAUCAUAGAGCUGCAAGAAAGAUUCUGAAGAUUAUUAAGUAGGCCAGGAUAAUUUUUUACUCUUUCCUUGUGCAUGUACAUGUAAUUAUCAUGUUUUGUUGUUUUGAAAUAAGUGAUACUCUGGCUGUCACUUAGAUAUUUACAUAAUUAUCAUAUUAGACUUGUCGUAGACGAAAUGUUUAAAGUAACACUUACUGGUGUAUUUCACCUAUUUUUCUGAACUUUCUAAGACUAGUAAUGUAAACAUUAAUUUUUUAUUUAAACUAUUGAACACAUAUAUGUACAUGUAUAUUAUCUGUUGCAGCAUGUUACACAAACUUUUCAUGAUAAAAGAGGACAAAAAUU
rnacentral:sRNA from 1 species